rnacentral:rRNA from 1 species
CCUACGGGGGGCAGCAGUGGGGAAUAUUGGACAAUGGGGGGAACCCUGAUCCAGCCAUGCCGCGUGUGUGAAGAAGGCCCUCGGGUUGUAAAGCACUUUCAGUGAGGAAGAACGCCUGGUGGUUAAUACCCAUCAGGAAAGACAUCACUCACAGAAGAAGCACCGGCUAACUCCGUGCCAGCAGCCGCGGUAAUACGGAGGGUGCGAGCGUUAAUCGGAAUUACUGGGCGUAAAGCGCGCGUAGGUGGCUUGAUAAGCCGGUUGCGAAAGCCCCGGGCUCAACCUGGGAACGGCAUCCGGAACUGUCAAGCUAGAGUGCAGGAGAGGAAGGUAGAAUUCCCGGUGUAGCGGUGAAAUGCGUAGAGAUCGGGAGGAAUACCAGUGGCGAAGGCGGCCUUCUGGACUGACACUGACACUGAGGUGCGAAAGCGUGGGUAGCAAACAGGAUUAGAUACCCUGGUAGUC